UGCCAGCCGCCGCGGUAAUACGGAGGAUCCAAGCGUUAUCCGGAAUUAUUGGGUUUAAGGGGUCCGCAGGCUGUUUGUUAAGUUAGAGGUGAGAUCCCAUAGCUUAACUAUGGAACUGCCUUUGAUACUGGUUGACUUGAGUCAUAUGGAAGUAGUUAGAAUGUGUAGUGUAGCGGUGAAAUGCAUAGAUAUUACACAGAAUACCAAUUGCGAAGGCAGAUUACUAACAAUUAACUGACGCUGAGGGACGAAAGCGUGGGUAGCGAACAGGAUUAGAUA
rnacentral:rRNA from 1 species